GCCCUCGUAGCUCAGAUGGAUAGAGCGGCCGCCUCCUAAGCGGCAGGCCAUGCGUUCGAAUCGCGUCGAGGGCACCA
rnacentral:tRNA from 5 species